AUGACGCUUGCUACCUUGCUGUGGGCAGUCAUGGUCUCUACCUGUCUUGGAUCCAGCCUGGCCCAGAAGGUCACUCAACCUCAACAAGAAUUGUCUGUGCAGGAGGCAAAGACUGCGACCUUGGCCUGCACAUAUGACACACGUGACAGUAAUUAUUAUUUGUUCUGGUACAAACAACCUCCCAGCGGGGAGAUGAUUUUCAUUAUCCGCCAAGAAGCUUUUAAGCAACAAAAUGCAACAGAUAAUCGCUUCACCGUGAACUUCCAGAAAGCAACCAAAAACUUCAGCCUCAGGAUCUCAGACUGCCAGCUGGAGGAUGCUGCAAUGUAUUUCUGUGCUCUCAGGAGUGGAGGCCAGAAGCUGGUAUUUGGGCAAGGAACCAGGCUGACCGUCAACCCCAAUAUCAAGAACCCUGACCCCGCCGUGUACCAGCUGAGAAGCCCUAAAUCCAGCAACACGUCCGUCUGCCUAUUCACCGACUUUGAUUCUAAAAUCAAUGUGUCACAAGACCCGCAGUCCACCGUGUUCAGCUCUAACAGCACGGUACUGGACAUGAAGGCCGUGGGUUCCAAGAGCAACGGGGCUCUGCGCUGGAGUGCCAGCACUGAUUUCUUGUGUGAAAAGACCUUCAAGGAGACAUUCUACUCCGACUCAGAAAUUCCCUGUGAUGCCACGUUGAUAGAGAAAAGCUUUGAAACAGAUAUGAACCUAAACUUCCAAAACCUGUCAGUGAUCGGGCUCCGCAUCCUGUUCCUGAAAGUGGCCAGCUUUAACCUGCUCAUGACGCUGCGGCUGUGGUCCAGCUGAGGUCAGCAAGAAUGUGAGAGCCCAGUGCUCCUCGCUGCUCGCUCCUCACCGCCCUUCUCUCCCUCAAGCAAAGACGCGCUCUCAGCCUCCAUGAAGGAGCAGGCUUCCUCCACCUCUCGGGCCCCACUGACAAUGCCACCAACUGGAUCCUACCAGAUAUUUGCAGUCAAGAUGUUGAAGAGCUGCCAAACGCUGCUACCCCUCCUUCUGUCCCCCCACUGCUGCCUGUCACUGCCCCAUGUUCCCAGCAAAGACAGGCAGGGGCUACUGCGGCCUCUCCUGGCUGUGGCCCCCUUACCCCUGCCAGAGACUGCUUCUGAUGCCCCACUGGGUGGUGGAUCACCAGGGGGUUCUCUCAGGUUCUAGCUCCUGGAGAAUGUUGUGAGGAGCUUGUAUUUUUUUUUUAAAUAGUGUUCAUAAAGAAAUACAUAUCACCCCUUUCCCCAAGAUGUGGGGGAAAUUAUCUCAUUAUCUAGGCCCUGCUGUGCUGUGUAUCUGAGCCACGUUGUAUAUUCUGCUGCCCUGGCUUCAUUAAAAUUGAUUUGGAAG